rnacentral:rRNA from 1 species
AACGCGAAGAACCUUACCUGGGCUCGAAAUGUUAUGGACCGGGGUAGAAAUAUCCCUUCCCAGCAAUGGGCCGUAAUAUAGGUGCUGCAUGGCUGUCGUCAGCUCGUGUCGUGAGAUGUUGGGUUAAGUCCCGCAACGAGCGCAACCCUUAUCUUCAGUUGCUACCAUUUAGUUGAGCACUCUGACGAAACCGCCUCGGAUAACGGGGAGGAAGGUGGGGAUGACGUCAAGUCCUCAUGGCCUUUAUGUCCAGGGCUACACACGUGCUACAAUGGCCGGUACAAACCGUUGCAAACCCGCGAGGGGGAGCUAAUCGGAAAAAGCCGGCCUCAGUUCGGAUUAGAGUCUGCAACUCGACUCUAUGAAGCUGGAAUCGCUAGUAAUCGCGGAUCAGAAUGCCGCGGUGAAUACGUUCCCGGGCCUUGUA